AUCCUAGUGCACGGGUUUUACACGUAUCAGUGAGGAGACAUCCGAGAUCGUGUUUUUGCUAGUUGAAAACUACCAAAUUGACUACUUCAAGUGAGCCUAAUCGCACGCUUGGGAAUUUUUGAAACCACCUUG
rnacentral:snRNA from 1 species